rnacentral:rRNA from 1 species
AACGCUGGCGGCGUGCUUAACACAUGCAAGUCGAACGAACCUUCGGGUUAGUGGCGGACGGGUGAGUAACGCGUGGGAAUCUGCCCUCAGGAGGGGGAUAACGGUUGGAAACGGCCGCUAAUACCCCAUAUGCCGAGAGGUGAAAUGAAUUUCGCCUGAGGAUGAGCCCGCGUCUGAUUAGCUAGUUGGUGAGGUAAGAGCUCACCAAGGCAUCGAUCAGUAGCUGGUCUGAGAGGAUGAUCAGCCACACUGGGACUGAGACACGGCCCAGACUCCUACGGGAGGCAGCAGUGGGGAAUUUUCCGCAAUGGGCGAAAGCCUGACGGAGCAACGCCGCGUGAGGGAUGAAGGCCUCUGGGCUGUAAACCUCUUUUAUCAAGGAAGAAGAUCUGACGGUACUUGAUGAAUAAGCCACGG